CCUACGGGAGGCAGCAGUGGGGAAUAUUGGACAAUGGGGGCAACCCUGAUCCAGCCAUGCCGCGUGUGUGAAGAAGGUCCUCGGGUUGUAAAGCACUUUCAGUGAGGAAGAACGCCUGGUGGUUAAUACCCAUCAGGAAAGACAUCACUCACAGAAGAAGCACCGGCUAACUCCGUGCCAGCAGCCGCGGUAAUACGGAGGGUGCGAGCGUUAAUCGGAAUUACUGGGCGUAAAGCGCGCGUAGGUGGCUUGAUAAGCCGGUUGUGAAAGCCCCGGGCUCAACCUGGGAACGGCAUCCGGAACUGUCAAGCUAGAGUGCAGGAGAGGAAGGUAGAAUUCCCGGUGUAGCGGUGAAAUGCGUAGAGAUCGGGAGGAAUACCAGUGGCGAAGGCGGCCUUCUGGACUGACACUGACACUGAGGUGCGAAAGCGUGGGUAGCAAACAGGAUUAGAUACCCUGGUAGUC
rnacentral:rRNA from 1 species